rnacentral:rRNA from 1 species
ACAAUAGACUACCCGGUAGUCCACGCCGUAAACGAUGAGUGCUAAGUGUUAGGGGGUUUCCGCCCCUUAGUGCUGCAGCUAACGCAUUAAGCACUCCGCCUGGGGAGUACGGUCGCAAGACUGAAACUCAAAGGAAUUGACGGGGGCCCGCACAAGCGGUGGAGCAUGUGGUUUAAUUCGAAGCAACGCGAAGAACCUUACCAGGUCUUGACAUCCCACUGACCGCUAUGGAGACAUAGUUUUCCCUUCGGGGACAGUGGUGACAGGUGGUGCAUGGUUGUCGUCAGCUCGUGUCGUGAGAUGUUGGGUUAAGUCCCGCAACGAGCGCAACCCUUGAUCUUAGUUGCCAUCAUUUAGUUGGGCACUCUAAGGUGACUGCCGGUGACAAACCGGAGGAAGGUGGGGAUGACGUCAAAUCAUCAUGCCCCUUAUGACCUGGGCUACACACGUGCUACAAUGGACGGUACGAACGGUUGCCAACCCGCGAGGGGGAGCUAAUCCGAUAAAACCGUUCUCAGUUCGGAUUGUAGGCUGCAACUCGCCUAC